ACGUGCUUAACGCUGCAUAGAAGUUCGAGUUAGAUCCAUCUAGCAGAAAAGUAAUUCGAAGCAUCAAAGAAACGGUCGAGGGUUGGAGCAAGUGGUUCUGUUUCCGAAGUAGUUUCUUGUGUCUUGGUAGGCCGUGAUCGAGGGUUCGUGAUUCGAGAAAAUGAAAUUAAAGCUGUGGGAUCGGUAGCUCGAUUGGCGUGGCGGGCGCUCGUGAAAAUUGAUGCGACGACGUAGCUUCAAUUACCGGCAG
rnacentral:misc_RNA from 1 species